rnacentral:rRNA from 1 species
GACAGAGGGUGCAAACGUUGUUCGGAAUUACUGGGCGUAAAGCGCGUGUAGGCGGCUCGGCAAGUCGGGUGUGAAAGCCCUGGGCUUAACCUAGGAAGUGCACUCGAAACUGCCAAGCUUGAGUUCUGGAGAGGAAGGCGGAAUUCUCGGUGUAGAGGCGAAAUUCGUAGAUAUCGAGAGGAACACCGGUGGCGAAGGCGGCCUUCUGGACAGCAACUGACGCUGAGACGCGAAAGCGUGGGGAGCAAACAGG